CCCAAAGAAACUGCUGUUCUUACAUACAGGUUUAGUUUGGCCCUCUAUUUAAUCAUUAACUCUUUCUGUUCUAAUCAAAAGGUUCAUUCAAAUUGUGAUGUUACAAAGGAAAGCUUUACUCAGCUUCAGAAAUGCUGAAUGUGGAUGAACAUGUGCGUUGCAACUCAAGGAAGACACUGAGCAUUGAACGGCCACAUCACGUGAGGUGCAAGAUAAGCACAGGUGCUUAUGCUGAAACCACAUCCUCUCCUCACCGAUGAGAUCCCUGCUCUGCUGAGGACACUUUUGGUCUCUCUGAGGGAUUUGGGAGAGGUCCUCCAGCUUCUGAAUCCUCAUGGACCUCCUCGGUGCUCUGACCUCCCUGCCUGCAGCUGGGGCAGACUUCAUGAGAAUGAAAAGAAAGAAGCUAUAACUAAAAUGUAAAUGCUGCAGAAGAUGCCUCUUCUAUUCCAUCAGCAAUGUCUGCAACUCUGCCUUUGAGUCUCAGAUUUAAUUACUGACGAUGGUCCUUCAAGUGUUAUGGUCCCACUGCAGCAAAGCCACAGUUUUGCUGGGAAAGUGACUCCAGAAAGAGAAAGAACUAAAUAAAAAGUAUCAUGUGAUUCCAUAAAGCUGCAGGCAGAUUAUAUCCUCAAUUACACUUGCACAACUCUAUUAAAUACCAGUGGGGUUGCACAGGUGUAACUGGAAGCACGACUGCCCUCACAAUCUGAAACACCACAGGGCAGAAGCAAGAAGAUGCCACCAAACUCCACAGCCCCAGCCGAGCUGGCAAGGACACCUACAGCACCCCAAAAAUGUGCCACAUGUCUGGGUUUCAGCCUUCAACAUCUCAGCUCUGACCUGGGGAUGUGACUAGUGACUAUCUCUGGACAUACUUAUACAAAAAGAGGGAACACUGACGAAAAAAAGGAAAAGAUUUGAGCUUAUUCUUGAAUGGUUUACGGGAAAAAUUACGAAUUUCCAUACCUAUUUUUGUUUGCACAUCAGUGGUCUUUUUUUCCUCUACACUCAUAGCCUAACCAACAAGGAAUAUGUAAAACAAAUGUUAGCUUAUAAAAUUAGAGACACUUUGCUAAGAUGUCACUGCUGAGAUGUAUGAUAUUCAAAACAAUAGAGAAUAAGAUUUAAAUAACUGAAAGCUAUUUUAGAAUAAAUGUGAUUUGUUUCAGCGGUGUACACAAGAAGAAAAUAAAAUUAAGGAAAACUGCUCAAAUGGAAAGCGUAUGUUCUGAAUAUCAAUAGACUACAACAUGUAGGCUUGCAUUUUGUAGCUGCCAUUGCUCUAUUUGCCUUCACAGCUGGUAAGAAUUUCCUUGUUCGGGGAAACUCUAACAUUUCAAGAUUUGUUUUCAUGCUGAAUCAGAAUUAAAUUUUCAAAUUUUUCUCAGAGAAAAUUCUGAAAAAUUACUGUUCUUAAAUAUUAAAUGUAGGUACUGUCAAAAUACUGUCCUACAUAUAUCAUAUCAGUCUCCACAGCAUCAAGCAGGAACAUAUUGUAAUAUUUAAUUUGGUAUUCUAAUAUGAUUACAAAGUCAACAUGAAAGGAACAGGAAAAUUAAACACUUCAAUUCACAAAGCAGAAUAUUUGGAUGAUAAACAUAGAUGCUGGAGUGAGACUUUCAGCGCUGUGGAAAUGUUUGCAUUUUGAAAAAAAAAAAUUGCUGGCAGCAAACUCUCUCACCCACUAUUAUUUUACUAGUUAAGUUUUGACACCUCUCAUACCUUCUUCUCUCAGACUAUAUCCUGAUAGAGCAGUUUGUCUUUCCUUCUCACUUCCUCACUUCCUUCCUUCCUUCCUUUCCAGCAGUGUGAUGAAAGAGAAGCUUUAUUACUGCAUUUACUUUUUUUCUAAAGUGCCUAGUUAUAGAGAGACCUUCACAUCUCUGGGCUGAUGUGUAAAUUGAACUCUCAUUAAAUCCAGGUGAGGCAAGGAAACAGAUAAAAUUACUGAUAGCGAGACAUACACAUUUAAAGGGAUAGCUGGAUUUAGAAUCAACACAGCCCUGGAUUGUGCUCUGUCCUUUAGGCUCUCUUGUCUCUUGAAGAACAACUCUGUGCAUUUGCUGGGAUGACAGCCCCAUUAGGAUGGCUCCCACUCCUAGUCACACUUGUGAAUGCCUACCUCACU